ACUUAAGUAGCUCAACGGUAGAGCAAUAAAUUGAAAAUUUAAAGACUGAGGUUCAACUCCUCGCUUAAGGA